AACGAACGCUGGCGGCAUGCCUAACACAUGCAAGUCGAACGAGACCUUCGGGUCUAGUGGCGCACGGGUGCGUAACGCGUGGGAACCUGCCCUUAUGUUCGGAAUACCUCCCCGAAAGGGGUGCUAAUACCGGAUAAUGUCUUCGGACCAAAGAUUUAUCGCCUUUGGAUGGGCCCGCGUUGGAUUAGCUAGUUGGUAGGGUAAAAGCCUACCAAGGCGACGAUCCAUAGCUGGUCUGAGAGGAUGAUCAGCCACACUGGGACUGAGACACGGCCCAGACUCCUACGGGAGGCAGCAGUGGGGAAUAUUGGACAACGGGCGAAAGCCUGAUCCAGCAAUGCCGCGUGAGUGAUGAAGGCCUUAGGGUUGUAAAGCUCUUUUAACCGGGAUGAUAAUGACAGUACCGGGAGAAUAAGCUCCGGCUAACUCCGUG
rnacentral:rRNA from 1 species